UUUGCUCAUUCUUAAUAUCUUUCUAGCCACUUACAACCAUUGCCUAAUUUCUUAAGAUGGAAAGGAAAAACAAAACUCAGAGAAAGUAAGAAAAUUCUCAAACCUAACUGCAACUAUGUACAAAGUUUGGAAUCUUUGAAAAAGUAGGAACGCGCGUAUCUUUUAGAGAAGGAAUAUUUCGGCAGAGGAGGUAGUUUUUGAAAGCUUCACUGCAGCAACAAAUCUAUACUAUUCUAUAAUCCUGAACUCCACAAAAUCUUUUAACCUGGUUGUGCCACGUGGCUCUUUUAAAUAAUGACACGUAGACUCUCAGCCCAUUAACUCUGCCACAAACAAAAGCGUUGCAGAAGUGAAACCAUACACAACCGUUCGGCGUCUUUCCGCCUUCUUCAGCAACUUCCAUCGCCCAUUACAACCUCCUUGCCCUUUACACCGUUGCACCCAUUAGCUAUUCAGCUUCCAUCGCCCUUUACACUGCCCUUUACAACGUUACAUGACAGUGCAGACGGAAGGACUUAAAUGGACUCCAGACUCAUAUAUGCGGCCCCAUAUAUAUUCGAAAAAGACAGCAACAAUCGUCUUCAGCACCCAGAAAAGCAAAACGUUCUCAAUCGUCUUCAUCACCCAGAAAAGCAAAACGUUUACAAUCGUCUUCGUCACCCAGGAAAGCAAAACGUGGGAACCCAACAAUCUCGGCAACCCAGGUAGUAAAUCAUAUUAUUGGAUUUAUAUAGUAUGUGCCUUCACUUCAGUAUAUAUAAGGAUUUAGUUUGCGCUCCACAAAAGAAGAGGUCUGUCGAGAUUGUGGGGUAAUGAGUUUCCUCUGUGAAGGUAAAAGAAACACAAUGCUUGCUUUAUUUUUAUGAGAUUACUUGAGCUAUGAAAAUUAAAUCAAUACAUGCUUUGGGGAUGUAUUUCUCUAUAAAUUGUAAACUCAGCAAGUUUUGUAGUGACAAUAACAUAAAUGGAACCGAAGCUUUCUUCACUAGAUGAGCAUGAAACAGAUUCUCAAUGAGGAAAAUAAAAACGCUAUUCCAACUUCAUAGGAGUAUUGUUUAUACACAAUUGGAAUUAGAAGCUCAUUUCAUAAUACACAAGAGUUUCUGUGCU